rnacentral:rRNA from 1 species
CCCUUAGAUGUUCUGGGCCGCACGCGUGCUACACUGAUGCAUUCAACUAGUCUAAAACCUGGUCUGAUAGGGCUGGGUAAUCUUUUGAAAGUGCAUCGUGAUUGGGAUAGAUGAUUGCAAUUCUUCAUCUUCAACGAGGAAUGCCUAGUAAACGCAAGUCAUCAGCUUGCAUUGAUUACGUCCCUGCCCUUUGUACACACCGCCCGUCGCUCCUACCGAUUGAAUGAUCCGAUGAAUAUCAUGGAUUGAGAGUACGAAUGGGUUCGCUCAUUUCUGCUGCUCGAGAAGUGAAGUAAAUCUUAUCAUUUAGAGGAAGGAGAAGUCGUAACA